rnacentral:rRNA from 1 species
UACGUAGGGGGCUAGCGUUGUCCGGAAUCAUUGGGCGUAAAGAGCGUGUAGGCGGCCCGGUAAGUCCGCUGUGAAAGUCCAGGGCUCAACCCUGGGAUGCCGGUGGAUACUGUCGGGCUCGAGUCCGGAAGAGGCGAGUGGAAUUCCUGGUGUAGCGGUGAAAUGCGCAGAUAUCAGGAGGAACACCAAUGGCGAAGGCAGCUCGCUGGGACGUAACUGACGCUGAGACGCGAAAGCGUGGGGAGCAAACAGG